CCAAUAGCGUAUAUUAAAGUUGUUGCAGUUAAAAAGCUCGUAGUUGAAUUUCGGGAUCAAGGGAUCGGUCAUGCCUUGGUAUGUACUGGUUUCAUUGGUUCUCACCUUCUAAAGAACCAUGAUGUCAUUCAUUUGAUGUUAUGGGGAAUUAGGACUGUUACCUUGAAAAAAUUAGAGUGUUUAAAGCAAGCUUACGCUUGAAUACAUUAGCAUGGAAUAAUGAAAUAGGACAUCAGAUUCUAUUUUGUUGGUUUCUAGGAUCGAUGUAAUGAUUAAUAGGGAUAGUUGGGGGCAUUAGUAUUCAAUUGUCAGAGGUGAAAUUCUUGGAUUUAUUGAAGACUAACUACUGCGAAAGCAUUUGCCAAGGAUGUUUUCAUUAAUCAAGAACGAAAGUUAGGGGAUCGAAGACGAUCAGAUACCGUCGUAGUCUUAACCAUAAACUAUGCCGACUAGGGAUCGGAUGAUGUUAAUUUUUUAAUGACUCAUUCGGCACCUUACG
rnacentral:ncRNA from 2 species